UUCAGAUUAAAGGAUUUGUCGAGGAAGUGAGAUUUAUGUGGAUUGCAGAGGAUCAGAAGGAGAAAGAUAAAUUUUAAAUUUGUUCGGGUAGAAGAGGAACAUCUACAUGUGCAUAUAUCUCAGUACAAUAAUUUGAAGUUCAUCAAGACAAUUCUUGAUAAAUUCAAUUCGGUUGGACAAACUAUGAUGUCAUUGGAGGAGUGCUAGAAGGGCGCGCCAGCACCGUCUUCUAGUGAAGGAGCUGUCUUGAAGGUGUCCUUAAAUGCUAUUGAUCCAAUUAAAAUGAAGAAGUGGUGGUGACAAAGAAGCAACGCUCGACGAGAAUCUGAACACCAUCUACUGCUAAUCGAACUUCGUACAUUAGAAUUGGUAGGAAAAGAAGAAAAAACAUGAAGUAAUAUAUUUUUGUUAAAAAAAAAAAAUUGCUUAUA